GAUGCCAGCUAGCGAUCCGCCAAAGUUCCUCCGAUGACUUGGUGGGCAGCUUCCGGGAAACCAAAGCAUUUGGGUUCCGGGGGAAGUAUGGUUGCAAAGCUGAAACUUAAAGGAAUUGACGGAAGGGCACCACCAGGAGUGGAGCCUGCGGCUUAAUUUGACUCAACACGGGAAACCUCACCAGGCCCGGACACCGGAAGGAUUGACAGAUUGAGAGCUCUUUCUUGAUUCGGUGGGUGGUGGUGCAUGGCCGUUCUUAGUUGGUGGAGCGAUUUGUCUGGUUAAUUCCGAUAACGAACGAGACUCUAGCCUACUAAAUAGACGUACUUUAUUACCGGCAUCUCAAGGCCCAUCGGCUGUAUUGUUACUGAAUGUUAUUUGUAUAUUUUGUUGAUAUAUAUUUAUAAUAUGUAUGAUUGAUAAUAUAUAUUUUUUUAUAAUUCAUAUUUUUUUUUCAAAAUUAAAAUUGGUUAUUUUUUAUAUAUGUAAUUAUUUAAUCUGCAUUAAUGAUAUACUUAAAACAUGAUACAUUAACUAAAGUGACAACAGUUUUUUGAUGUGGUUUUUACUGCCGGCGUACA
rnacentral:rRNA from 1 species